UGGCGAACGGGUGAGUAACGCGUGGGCAACCUGCCCUCUAGAUGGGGACAACAUCCCGAAAGGGGUGCUAAUACCGAAUGUGACAGCAAUCUCGCAUGAGGAUGCUGUGAAAGAUGGCCUCUAUUUAUAAGCUAUCGCUAGAGGAUGGGCCUGCGUCUGAUUAGCUGGUUGGUGAGGUAACGGCCCACCAAAGCGACGAUCAGUAGCCGGCCUGAGAGGGUGAACGGCCACAUUGGGACUGAGACACGGCCCAAACUCC
rnacentral:rRNA from 1 species